CCAGAGCCAGAGGAAGAUGAAGGUGGCUGUGCUCAGCGUGGCCCUGCUCUUCUCCAUCCUGCUGUGCCCCCCGGCACAGGCCAAGGCACUCCUGGAAGGAACCCAAGAUGAUCUGUGGGAGCCCCCUGUGGCUGAAGAGCUGCGGGCUCUCCUGCGGCAGAAGCGCCCGGCUGCCUCUCUGGAUGCCUAGUGGCAUGAGGAGAUGAUCAUCCCUGGAGGAACCCCCUGAACUCUUUGAGCCCUGGGCCAUUUCCCCUGAAGAAUCAAU